CGGACGGGUGAGUAAUGUCUGGGAAACUGCCCGAUGGAGGGGGAUAACUACUGGAAACGGUAGCUAAUACCGCAUAACGUCGCAAGACCAAAGAGGGGACCGUUAGGGCCUCUUGCCAUCGGAUGUGCCCAGAUGGGAUUAGCUAGUAGGUAAGGUAACGGCUUACCUAGGCGACGAUCCCUAGCUGGUCUGAGAGGAUGAUCAGCCACACUGGGACUGAGACACGGCCCAG
rnacentral:rRNA from 1 species